AGGAUGAACGCUGGCGGCGUGCCUAAUACAUGCAAGUCGAGCGAAUGGAUUAAGAGCUUGCUCUUAUGAAGUUAGCGGCGGACGGGUGAGUAACACGUGGGUAACCUGCCCAUAAGACUGGGAUAACUCCGGGAAACCGGGGCUAAUACCGGAUAACAUUUUGAACCGCAUGGUUCGAAAUUGAAAGGCGGCUUCGGCUGUCACUUAUGGAUGGACCCGCGUCGCAUUAGCUAGUUGGUGAGGUAACGGCUCACCAAGGCAACGAUGCGUAGCCGACCUGAGAGGGUGAUCGGCCACACUGGGACUGAGACACGGCCCAGACUCCUACGGGAGGCAGCAGUAGGGAAUCUUCCGCAAUGGACGAAAGUCUGACGGAGCAACGCCGCGUGAGUGAUGAAGGCUUUCGGGUCGUAAAACUCUGUUGUUAGGGAAGAACAAGUGCUAGUUGAAUAAGCUGGCACCUUGACGGUACCUAACCAGAAAGCCACGGCUAACUACGUGCCAGCAGCCGCGGUAAUACGUAGGUGGCAAGCGUUAUCCG
rnacentral:rRNA from 2 species